CUGAACGCCGGGAACAGGGCAUCAUCAACCAGGGGAACCGCCGCCGCAAAGCUUUGAGCGGCGGAAGGGAUCAUGAAGCUACCGACCGGCAUGACCUGCACAUGGGGCGCGUCCGGCGGGAAAUACCAAUACCUGUGCUGCACCCGGAGAAAUUCAAGAAACGGAACUUUCGGACAGGGGUUCGACUCCCCUCGCCUCCACCA
rnacentral:tmRNA from 1 species